rnacentral:lncRNA from 1 species
AAAUACCAUAAAACAAGAUCCAUUCGGUAUUUACGUCGGGUUCGGAUCGGUUCGGAUUCAUUUUUAUCGGAUCGGAUUCGGUUCAGAUUUUCGGGUUCGGUUUAUUUGCCCAGCCCUAGUUCAACUGAGAGCAACAAAACUGUUUUUAAUGUUUGAUCUUCCUCACAAUGAUGGAGUUAGGCUUUUAAUAUACAGUUACGUUACAGAAGAGUGGUAUUGAAUCUAAUAAAAACAAAAAAAAAACAUGAUGUGAAUCUUUGACAUUGAUGUAAACCCAUCAUCUCUUUUUUCUUACACACUCUAACUUACUUUUCCACCCAUCAA